CGAGGUGCAGCUGGCGCCGCACCGGCAGGUUCCCGACCUGCCCGCGCUCCGCGACGAGGAGCGCGACGCGUUCGGCCCGCUCUACCUCGAC
rnacentral:tRNA from 1 species